CGCCAGAUGGCCGAGCGGUCUAAGGCGCCAGACUAAGGCCAGUUGCAUCUGCAGUACACCUUGUCGAAUAUUCGAUAAUCUGGUCUUUCGGGGCGUGGGUUCGAAUCCCACUCUGGUCA